CUCUGUUAGAGGUUUCUUCCUGAGAAUCCCUAAUGACAGUCCCACUUUUCAAUAGGGAGGGGUGGAAAUCCCAGCUCCUGCCUUGAUGAGGAGGGGCAGAGCUUUCAUCAUUGCUAUUCAGCCUUGACUUGGUCUGGGAGACCGAGGGUCUCUCAGUCUAGAAGUCAGCAGGCUGUCUUUACAGUUACUUCACAGAGGCACACACAGAGAGAGACAGAAGAAGCACAUGCUCGUGCACUCUCAUGCGCGCAUGCACACACACACACACACACACAUCCCAUUGCUGCUCUAAGCAGGCAGCUUAGUGUCACAGCUACAGCCGAGGCACAGUGCAGUGAGCACGGGUGAGACCACUCUCCGUGGUGGGAAGAGGGUGUGUAGACGGUGGUGACAGCAGCGAAGGAGCCAUUCCGCCUGCAAGUAUAGAAACGAUAGGCCCAUUGAACUGUUCAUCGAUCCAUCUGAGGUGAAUCCGCUUAGGGCCAAAUAAUUCCAGGAUACCUGCUCAUGCAUUUCUGCUGAUGGCAACUCAGAAUGAGACCACUUCCUCCAGGAUUUAACACAGCAAUGUCACUAAAUGGGAAGAUCUUUGGUGUGAAGAUGCACAUAGCAGAAGUCAUCUAAAAAGAAAUGUGUAUUUCUCAUGGUGUACACACACAAUGCCAUUCAACAUUACUACAAGGAUAACAUUGUUGCCAUAUUGGUGUUAGAGAAAAUGCGAGAUAAACAAGAAAAUAGGCAUGCUAUUUUGCUGCACAGAGCACUUUCCUGUGUAAUUCUGCACAUGUCAACUGAAAAAUAAAUUCCACUGAUUUAUAUGAGGCUUACUACCAGUGGAUGAUUGAUCGUGCCUGCCAGCCGCCUAAUAUCAUAAUUAACAAAGUUGCUGCUGUGUCUGAGAAGUUUAAUCGGAAAAAAAUUGCCGUCAGUAUGAUGCCAUUGUUGCCCACGAAGAUCAGAAGCGUUACAAAGUCGACUUUUGGACUAAUGAAGCUGCAGAACUAUGUGGGCAGAAUAAGAAAUAGUGGACCUGUGUGGCUUAUGAUAAGAUAGGAAAAGAGCUCUAAUUUUGGCUGGACAAAGCAGUUUCAGAAGCAGAAUGGUUUUCUGGAAUCCAAAACUGAGAAGGAUGCCUAGCAAAAGAAUUCCAGAAUGGAUGCAUUACAGAAGCUAUGAUCAAACAGGCUUUCCUGAAGAAUCAAACUGUGAAAACUACAACCAUAAAAGGCCCUCCAUUUAUUGCAUUCGCCAAAAAAAAAAAAAAAGUGAUAUUCGUAUGGGAGGCUGAGCUGGAGGCUAAUAAUGAAGGAGUCAGUAAAGGAGGCCAGUGCCGUGAGGGUUAUCUCGCGGCCCCAGAUGCUGGAUAAGUUGAAGAAGGCAGAAUCGCUUUGGAUGACAUUCAGGUCUGAAUGAUGAUUUGGAGAAGAAAAGACUAUUCUUUCCAAGACUCUCAACAAAACCUGAGAAGAGUUGUUCCAGUUAAGUGGAUUAUGUAUUCAUAUAAAGAUGAAUGGACAACCUACUGUUAUCUCCAAGUGUGAGAGUCACAUGCAGAAGUGCUCAAGGAUGCAGUCCAAUAUCUUAACUGUUGAACCGUUUUGCCUUUUCAUCUGUGAAGUUCGUUUACAGCCAUUAUAACAAGAACAUAAUGGCCUCUUGCAACUAGAUCACCAUCAAAAUCACUUCUGGACCUUGUGGCAGAAAGUCACCUAUAUAUCCAUUUACUAAUGUAUGACAGUUAUGGAUUGGAUCCUCUGGUUAAUUACAUGCACAGCUGAAAAUGUGCAGCUAGGAGUAGAGAAUCAGGGAUUAAAGCUAUUUUUCUUCUCCACCUAGCAGUUCAACUGGUCACUUAGAAUAGUGGCUACUACUAAUCCAUGUGACAAGUGGCAUGAUUUUGGUGGUCUUUCUCUCCUUGCUUGCCAAAACAUAAAGUUGUGCAUUUGUUUAAGCAUGGAUGAUGUCUAGAAAAUAUGUCAGAAAACAAGAUCUUAGCUUAUUGCAUUAUAAUACAGACUUCCCUCUCUGUCAUACACGUUUACACUUAUGUAUUAAGGAUAGAUCCUUGGUAAGCUAGCAUUUUGUCUCCCCAUUAAAUAAUGUUUCCUAUGAUAAUGUUUUAUUGGGGAGAUUCUAUCCAGAAAAAUCCAUGGUUUUGGGAAAAAAAAAACUAUAGUUAGAGAAUCAAUUGAAUUAGCUUAUAUUUCAAAACUGCACCAGAAGUAUGACCUAAUAACUUUGCAUACGCAUAAAUGUGCAGUGAGGACAACCUGCGAACAGGAAUGAAUGAAAUGUUGUGGUGUCACACACUAGAUUCAACAAGUUGCAAUGAAGAAGUUUGCUUUGUAAUCCAUGGUGGUAACUCCUUGCUCCUGGGCAUAUGGAAAAUCAAAGGAAUUUAUGGCAAUGUCUUUACUCUGGUUUAAAGGAAAGAAAGUGACUUUGCAAACAUUAUGGAAUCUAUGUAAAAACAUAAAUAAAUACUUGAA